CCUACGGGAGGCUGCAGUAGGGAAUAUUGCUCAAUGGGGGAAACCCUGAUGCAGCAACGCCGCGUGCAGGAUGAAGGUUUUCGGAUUGUAAACCUCUUUUGUUAGAGAAGAUAAUGACGGUACCUAACGAAUAAGCACCGGCUAACUCCGUGCCAGCAGCCGCGGUAAUACGGAGGGUGCAAGCGUUACUCGGAAUCACUGGGCGUAAAGAGCGCGUAGGCGGGAUAGCAAGUCAGAUGUGAAAUCCUAUGGCUUAACCAUAGAACUGCAUUUGAAACUGUUAUUCUAGAGUAUGGGAGGGGAAGGUGGAAUUCUUGGUGUAGGGGUGAAAUGCGUAGAGAUCAAGAGGAAUACUCAUUGCGAAGGCGAGCUGCUGGAACGUAACUGACGCUGAUGCGCGAAAGCGUGGGGAGCAAACAGGAUUAGAUACCCCAGUAGUC
rnacentral:rRNA from 1 species